GCCUGGGUGGCUCAGUGGUUAAGCAUCUGACUUCAGCUCAGGUCAUGAUCUCACGGUUUGUGGGUUUGAGCCCCGCGUCGGGCU
rnacentral:tRNA from 1 species